GGUGUCCAGUGUGAGGUGAAGCUGAUAGGGUCAGUGCAGCCUGGAGGGUCCCUGAAACUCUCCUGUGCAGCCUCUGGAGUCACUGUGAGUGACUACUGAAUGACCUGGGUCCUUCAGGCUCCAAAGAAGGGGCUGGAGAGGGUGGCAAUAAUUUUUAAUGGUGGAGGUAGCACCUAUUAUCCAGAAACCAUGAAGGGCUGAUUCACUAUCUACAGAGAUGAUGCCACAAACACACUUUACCUGAAAAUAAACAGUCUGAGGUCUUAGUACACAGCCC